rnacentral:rRNA from 1 species
CUACGGGUGGCACCAGUGAGGAAUAUUGCGCAAUGGGGGGAACCCUGAUGCAGCAACGCCGCGUGGAGGAUGACGCAUUUCGGUGUGUAAACUCCUUUUAUAUGUCAAGAAAAUGACGGUAGCAUAUGAAUAAGCACCGGCUAACUCCGUGCCAGCAGCCGCGGUAAUACGGAGGGUGCAAGCGUUACUCGGAAUCACUGGGCGUAAAGGACGCGUAGGCGGGUUGGAAAGUCAGGUGUGAAAUCCUACAGCUUAACUGUAGAACUGCACUUGAAACUUCUAAUCUAGAGUAUGGGAGGGGGAGAUGGAAUUAGUGGUGUAGGGGUAAAAUCCGUAGAUAUCACUAGGAAUACCUAAAGCGAAGGCGAUCUCCUGGAACAUUACUGACGCUAAGGCGUGAAAGCGUGGGGAGCAAACAGGAUUAGAUACCCUUGUAGUC